UCGGGCUUAUCUUGUGGGGAGAUCGUGACGUCACCUAUGGGCUUUUUCUCCGGACUGACAAGGAAACUGAAUUGAUGGAAAAGGGACAGCGGGGAAUCUGAUAUCAUCCAAGAAGACACAGAAAUGCCGCAGGGUAAACAACUUUCGGUGCUGUCUGAGCACGCACUACAUCAAGUGGAGGAAAUCGCGGUGAGAUGGUAUGAGGCUGCCUGAAGAGGAGCCCACAAAGCGCCUGGCUCACGCCAAAAGCGUGCGAGCAGUCUUCCAACCUCAGCCUUUCCUGGAGGCGGAUGCGUUGAAACAGGUCAUGAUCUUCUUGUAAAGCACCAGGCGUUAUGUACCACGAGGGAGACACUUCACUUGAACUCUCUGUCAAAACACUAAUAAACCCAUGUCAUAAACAUGUCGUGGCAGAUGCCAACCACCGUCAUAAGUUUCCAUGGUAGAUUACUUGUAAUUACAAAACAACAUUGUGUUAUCAUUAAUCAAACAUGUUAUGGCUUCCCCCUUUAUGCUUGCUGCUUUGUUAUGUAUUGUGUAUGUGUGAUGAUUCAUAACAUAUUACAUAAUUAAAAAUUAUUGCGUAUGG